CAAAAAUCUAUUUCCAAAUAUUUCCUUUCCCAAAACUAGAUCCUUAUGGCUUUUAGAAUCAGAAGCGUUCAACAAUGGCCUGAAAAUCACCAUUAUUUAUUUUCUCCUCCUGGCUCUUACUUCCAUUCACUAUUGUUUUCCCCGAUCAGUGAGCAACCCAACAAUACCUUAAACUCGAUUUUCAUUUCACAGUACCAAAGAUACUCCCCCAAUUGUUCCCCAUCGAUCUUUCUCCACUGCCUCCUCUAUAAAAUCUGGCACCCCAUUAAGAAGAUAAGUAUUCCUUUCCCCCCUUAAUCCUUCAGUGGGCAAAAGAUAAGCCACUUGGUUCCCCUGCCUUUGAAUAUGUCAGAAUACACAGUUUCUAAAUCUCUCCCUCAAAGAGUUUAGAUCUAAGAUGCAAGCACUGAUGCAUGAAUCAUCUUUCCUGUUUUCCUGUAGUUUAUUUAUCACCGUAAGUGAAUUGCCUUCCAUCACCACAUCUUGAAACUCUAAAUCAAUGCCCAAUCGGACUGCUUCGAGAUAUGUAAUAGCUUCCGCAACAAACCCCGUUGGGAAUGAGCUUGAAAAGCCUUAUCAAAAUUUAUCUUUAUGAAAUCGUUCUCUAGAGGCCUCCAUCUUACAAUCUCAACUUGGGCAACAAGUAACAGUUUGUUUAAGGCAUCUAAUUCUUCUAAUUGAGCUUUAAUCAUUUCUACUA